CAGCUUAGUGGGCAUGAAGGCAAAGAGCAGUGGUGGUCUGUGCUGCUGACUGUUUGCCAUUAGGUGGCAGCAAAUACCUUGAUCACAGCUGAGGACAAUCUUUCCAUGAACACAAGAAGCUUUCUUCAGUUUCAUAAUUUCACAAUGUUACUUUGCUCCUUUCUUUUGUAAUGUUUUUUCCAUCAAUAAGUGUUAUUAGUGUCAUGAUAUGCCAACUUUAUAUGGUAGCAAUAGUGUGAUUAUUGUUUGUAUUUUUUUGUGAUUUUCGACUAAUGCAUAAGAAUAAACAAAUGUAUGAAAAGA